GUUGGAGAUGCUGCGGCGAAUACGCCAGGUUAAAUUGACCAAAUCAAUGGUGAUGGAGAAGCCUACUCCCCUUCUGGUUGGGUGGAAAUUUGUGAGACAGCAUUACACACUGGUGAACCAGGCCCCAGACAUGCUGCAUAGAUUUUAUGGAAAGAACUCUUCUCAUGUCCAUGGGGGAUUGGAUUCAAAUGGAAAGCCAGCAGAUGCAGUCUACAGACAGAAAGAAAUCCACAGGAAAGUGACAUCACAAAACUUCACCAACUGCCACACCAAGAUUCUCCAUGUUGAUGCUUAUGCUAUGCUAAAUGAUGGUGUGGUAGUCCAGGUGCUUCUCUCUAACAACAACCAAGCUUUGAGGAGAUUCAUGCACAUGUUUGUACUUGCUCCUGAGGGGUCUAUUGCAAAUCAGUUCUAUGUUCAUAAUGAUAUCUUCAGAUACCAAGAUGGAUUUGUUACUGAGCCUCAGGAGGAGUCUGAAGAAGAAGUAGAGGAACCUGAAGAAAGACAGCAAACACCUCUGAUUCUGGAACUUUCUAUGAUCAGGCAGUUGUCAGUAAUGACAUGGAAGAACAUUUAGAGGAGCCAGUUGCUGAACUGGAGCCUGAUCCUGAACCAGAACCAGAACAAGAACAUAUAUCUGAAAUCCAAGAGGAAAAGUUUGAGCUUGUAUUAGAGGAGACUGCUCCUGAGGAUGCUCAGAAGAGUUCUCCAGCACCUGCAGACAUAUCUCAGACAGUAUAGGAAGACUUGAGGACAUUUUCUUGGGCAUCUGUGACCAGUAACAACCUUCCACCCAGUGGAGCUGUUCCAGUUACUGGGAUACCUCCUCAUGUUUGUAAAGUACUAUCUUCACAGCCCUGUACAGAGUCUAAGCCUGAAUCUCAGGUUCCACCACAGAGACCUCAAAGGGAUCAAAGAAUGCAAGAACAAUGAAUAAAUAUUCCUCCCCAAAAGGGACCCAGACCAAUCUGUGAGGCUGGUGAGCAAGGUGACAUUGAACCCCGAAGAAUGGUGAGACACCCUGACAGUCACCAACUCUUCAUUGGCAACCUGCCUCAUAAAGUAGACAAAUCAGAGCUUAAAUAUUUCUUUCAAAAUUAUGGAAACAUGGUGGAGUUGCACAUUAACAGUGGUGAGAAAUUACCCAAUUUUGAUUUUGUUGUGUUUGAUGAUUCUGAGCCUGUUCAGAAGGUCCUUAGCAACAGGUCCAUCAUGUUCAGAGGUGAGGUCCGUCUAAAUGUGGAAGAGAAGAAGACUCGAGCUGCCAGGGAAGGGGACCCACAAGAUGAUCGCCUUUGUGGACCUGGAGGCCCUUUAGGUGGGCUGGGUGGUGGAACGAGAGGCCCUCCCUGUGGAGGCAUGGUACAGAAAGCAGGAUUUGGAGUGGGAAGGUGGCUUGCUCCACGGCAGUGAAUCUUCAUGGAUCUCCAGGCGGCCAUACGAAUCCUAGUUCCUACAGAAUGGUGAAUUUCUUUGACCA